rnacentral:rRNA from 1 species
GAUGAACGCUGGCGGCGUGCCUAACACAUGCAAGUCGAGCGAUCUUCUUCGGAAGAGAGCGGCGGACGGGUGAGUAACGCGUGGGUAACCUGCCCUGUACACACGGAUAACAUACCGAAAGGUAUGCUAAUACGAGAUAAUAUGCUUUUAUCGCAUGGUAGAAGUAUCAAAGCUCCGGCGGUACAGGAUGGACCCGCGUCUGAUUAGCUAGUUGGUAAGGUAACGGCUUACCAAGGCGACGAUCAGUAGCCGACCUGGGAGGGUGAUCGGCCACAUUGGAACUGAGACACGGUCCAAACUCCUACGGGAGGCAGCAGUGGGGAAUAUUGCACAAUGGGCGAAAGCCUGAUGCAGCAACGCCGCGUGAGCGAUGAAGGCCUUCGGGUCGUAAAGCUCUGUCCUCAAGGAAGAUAAUGACGGUACUUGAGGAGGAAGCCCCGGCUAACUACGUGCCAGCAGCCGCAGUAA